GAUGAAGAACGUAGCGAAAUGCGAUAAGUAAUGUGAAUUGCAGAAUUCAGUGAAUCAUCGAAUCUUUGAACGCACAUUGCGCCCUCUGGUAUUCCGGGGGGCAUGCCUGUUCGAGCGUCAUUAUAACCACUCAAGCUCUCGCUUGGUAUUGGGGUUCGCGGUUCCGCGGCCCCUAAAAUCAGUGGCGGUGCCUGUCGGCUCUACGCGUAGUAAUACUCCUCGCGAUUGAGUCCGGUAGGUCUACUUGCCAGCAACCCCCAAUUUUUACAGGUUGACCUCGGAUCAGGUAGGGAUACCCGCUGAACUUAAGCACAUCAAUAAGCGGAGGA
rnacentral:misc_RNA from 1 species